rnacentral:rRNA from 1 species
GAUGAACGCUGACAGAAUGCUUAACACAUGCAAGUCAACUUGAACUUCGGUUUGGGUGGCGGACGGGUGAGUAACGCGUAAAGAACUUGCCUCACAGUUAGGGACAACAUUUGGAAACGAAUGCUAAUACCUGAUAUUAUGAUUUUAGGGCAUCCUAGAAUUAUGAAAGCUAUAUGCGCUGUGAGAGAGCUUUGCGUCCCAUUAGCUAGUUGGAGAGGUAACGGCUCACAAAGGCGAUGAUGGGUAGCCGGCCUGAGAGGGUGAACGGCCACAGAGGGACACGGAAAGGACCCUUACUCAAACGGGAGGAAGGAGUGGAAAAUAUUGGACAAAAGACCAAGAGUGUGAUCAAGCUAUUCUGUGUGCACGAUGAAGUUUUUCGGAAAGAAAAAUGCUUUCAGUUGAGAAGAAAAAAAUGACGGUACCUACAGAAAAAGUGACGGCUAACUACGUG